rnacentral:rRNA from 1 species
AACGAACGCUGGUGGCGUGCUUAACACAUGCAAGUCGAACGAGAACGUUUCCUUCGGGAAAUUAGUAAAGUGGCGCAAGGGUGAGUAACACGUGAAUAAUCUGCCCUCGAGAUCGGGAUAACAUGGUGAAAACUAUGCUAAUACCGGAUAAGACCACAUUUCGCAGGAAAUGCGGUAAAAGGAGUCUCAAUCUGCACUCGAGGAUGAGUUCGCGCAACAUUAGCUUGUUGGUGAGAUAAAAGCUCACCAAGGCUACGAUGUUUAGCCGGCCUGAGAGGGUGAACGGCCACACUGGAACUGAGACACGGUCCAGACUCCUACGGGAGGCAGCAGUGGGGGAAUCUUGCACAAUGGAGGAAACUCUGAUGCAGCGAUGCCGCGUGAGUGAAG